GAAGAAGAAAGUUCCAUGGCUGCUCACGGCCAGCCAUGGUUGCUGAAGAAAAGUUUUAUUUUUCUUGUUUUGAUUAAGUUCUAAGUUGAAUUACAAGUUCAAGGAGGUGAUAGCAACAUUGGAUAUUAAGUCGGAGAAGAAGAAAUUGUAAAAUUGGAGCAAUUAAGAGUAGAAAUUCCUCCGAGAAAAUUAAGGCUAAAAGAGUGACGAGACGAACGGGUUACGAAUAACCGCUAACAGGUACAGAUAGUUGGUUUGGUGACCCUUCAACAUAGGACUUCUACUCAGCUAUCUUGGAGAGCUCCGUUGUUCCGGGGUUUAGACUUUCAGUACAGAUCUUAUAAGAUAUAUAUGUAUAUGUUAUCCAGGGGUACGGCGGGGCCCUGUCCCGUCAUAUUUCACAGUUGAUACUCUUAGAGGUCUGUAGACAUAUGUGUGGGUUGUGUAUAAGUUCUGUUCAGUUGUGUCUAUACGAUGUGCUAUGAUAUGACGUCCGUCCGUAGUGGCAGCCUUGCCGGCUUGCAUAUGACAUGAUAUUGAUGUGUAGUGGCAGCCUUGUCGGCUUGCGUAUCAUUUUAUGAUUUGAUCAGUUGUGACUCCUCAGGAGACAAUUUAUCUGAGUAUACAUAUAUGAUGACGCUAUGAACUUUCGGAAUUCUUUUGUAAAGUUCCAUAUUG